UGGGGAUGACGUCAAGUCAUCAUGCCCCUUAUGACCUGGGCUACACACGUGCUACAAUGGUUGGUACAACGAGUUGCGAGUCGGUGACGGCGAGCUAAUCUCUUAAAGCCAAUCUCAGUUCGGAUUGUAGGCUGCAACUCGCCUACAUGAAGUCGGAAUCGCUAGUAAUCGCGGAUCAGCACGCCGCGGUGAAUACGUUCCCGGGCCUU
rnacentral:rRNA from 1 species